rnacentral:rRNA from 1 species
AGAGUUUGAUCAUGGCUCAGAACGAACGCUGGCGGCAGGCCUAACACAUGCAAGUCGGACGAGAAGGUUCCUUCGGGAACUGGAGAGUGGCGCACGGGUGAGUAACGCGUGGGGACCUACCUUUUAGUGGGGGAUAACGGUUGGAAACGACCGCUAAUACCGCAUACGCCCUUUUGGGGAAAGAUUUAUCGCUAAAAGAUGGACCCGCGUUGGAUUAGAUAGUUGGUGAGGUAACGGCUCACCAAGUCUUCGAUCCAUAGCUGGUUUGAGAGGAUGAUCAGCCACACUGGGACUGAGACACGGCCCAGACUCCUACGGGAGGCAGCAGUGGGGAAUAUUGGACAAUGGGCGGAAGCCUGAUCCAGCCAUGCCGCGUGAAUGAAGAAGGCCUUCGGGUUGUAAAGCUCUUUCAGAUGCGAAGAUGACGACGGUAACAUCAGAAGAAGCCCCGGCUAAUUUCGUGCCAGCAGCCGCGGUAAU